rnacentral:rRNA from 1 species
GUGAGGAAUUUUCCGCAAUGGGCGAAAGCCUGACGGAGCAAUGCCGCGUGAAGGAUGAAGGCCUAUGGGUUGUAAACUUCUUUUCUCAGAAAAGAAUUAUGACGGUAUCUGAGGAACAAGCAUCGGCUAACUCUGUGCCAGCAGCCGCGGUAAGACAGAGGAUGCAAGCGUUAUCCGGAAUGAUUGGGCGUAAAGCGUCUGUAGGUUGUUUAAAAAGUAUUCUGUCAAAGAUUAGGGCUUAACCCUAGAUAGGCAGAAUAAACUUUUAAGCUAGAGUUUGGUAGAGGCAGAGGGAAUUCCCGGUGGAGCGGUGAAAUGCGUAGAUAUCGGGAGGAACACCAAAGGCGAAGGCACUCUGCUGGGCCAAUACUAACACUGAGAGACGAAAGCGAGGGGAGCAAAUGGGAUUAGAUACCCGAGUAGUCC